GCCUUGGUGGCGGAAUUGGUAUACGCGCAUGGUUCAGGACCAUGUUCUCGCAAGGGAUUGGGAGUUCGAGUCUCCCCCAAGGCA
rnacentral:tRNA from 1 species